rnacentral:rRNA from 1 species
UACGGAGGAUGCGAGCGUUAUCCGGAUUUAUUGGGUUUAGAGGGUGCGUAGGCGGGCUUUUAAGUCAGCGGUAAAAAUUCGGGGCUCAACCCCGUCCGGCCGUUGAAACUGGGGGUCUUGAGUGGGCGAGAAGAAGGCGGAAUGCGUGGUGUAGCGGUGAAAUGCAUAGAUAUCACGCAGAACCCCGAUUGCGAAGGCAGCCUUCCGGCGCCCUACUGACGCUGAGGCACGAAAGUGCGGGGAUCGAACAGG